rnacentral:lncRNA from 1 species
CCAGGCUGGGGCUGGCAGCUGUCUCAGUCUGAUUCUGGCUGAGAAAGAAGAGAUCCAGACCUGUCGUUUGAUUGACAGCCCUGCCUUAACAGCCUGUUUCCCAGAAGUUGUACAAAGGCGCGCUCACAGUUGCAAAGAGUCUGAUUCUUUCCUUCUAAGUCGAGUGAUUUCCCUGGUAAUGGAUUGUGUCUCUCCGAGUUUCCACCCUGCUGAGACCAGAUACAGCCUCUGAACCCCGCUA